rnacentral:rRNA from 1 species
GGUCCCAAAGUCAUGGUUAAGUGGGAAACGAUGUGGGAAGGCCCAGACAGCCAGGAUGUUGGCUUAGAAGCAGCCAUCAUUUAAAGAAAGCGUAAUAGCUCACUGGUCGAGUCGGCCUGCGCGGAAGAUGUAACGGGGCUAAACCAUGCACCGAAGCUGCGGCAGCGACACUAUGUGUUGUUGGGUAGGGGAGCGUUCUGUAAGCCUGUGAAGGUGUACUGUGAGGUAUGCUGGAGGUAUCAGAAGUGCGAAUGCUGACAUAAGUAACGAUAAAGCGGGUGAAAAGCCCGCUCGCCGGAAGACCAAGGGUUCCUGUCCAACGUUAAUCGGGGCAGGGUGAGUCGACCCCUAAGGCGAGGCCGAAAGGCGUAGUCGAUGGGAAACAGGUUAAUAUUCCUGUACUUGGUGUUACUGCGAAGGGGGGACGGAGAAGGCUAUGUUGGCCGGGCGACGGUUGUCCCGGUUUAAGCGUGUAGGCUGGUUUUCCAGGCAAAUCCGGAAAAUCAAGGCUGAGGCGUGAUGACGAGGCACUACGGUGCUGAAGCAACAAAUGCCCUGCUUCCAGGAAAAGCCUCUAAGCAUCAGGUAACAUCAAAUCGUACCCCAAACCGACACAGGUGGUCAGGUAGAGAAUACCAAGGCGCUUGAGAGAACUCGGGUGAAGGAACUAGGCAAAAUGGUGCCGUAACUUCGGGAGAAGGCACGCUGAUAUGUAGGUGAAGCGACUUGCUCGUGGAGCUGAAAUCAGUCGAAGAUACCAGCUGGCUGCAACUGUUUAUUAAAAACACAGCACUGUGCAAACACGAAAGUGGACGUAUACGGUGUGACGCCUGCCCGGUGCCGGAAGGUUAAUUGAUGGGGUUAGCGGUAACGCGAAGCUCUUGAUCGAAGCCCCGGUAAACGGCGGCCGUAACUAUAACGGUCCUAAGGUAGCGAAAUUCCUUGUCGGGUAAGUUCCGACCUGCACGAAUGGCGUAAUGAUGGCCAGGCUGUCUCCACCCGAGACUCAGUGAAAUUGAACUCGCUGUGAAGAUGCAGUGUACCCGCGGCAAGACGGAAAGACCCCGUGAACCUUUACUAUAGCUUGACACUGAACAUUGAGCCUUGAUGUGUAGGAUAGGUGGGAGGCUUUGAAGUGUGGACGCCAGUCUGCAUGGAGCCGGCCUUGAAAUACCACCCUUUAAUGUUUGAUGUUCUAACGUUGGCCCCUGAUCGGGGUUGCGGACAGUGUCUGGUGGGUAGUUUGACUGGGGCGGUCUCCUCCUAAAGAGUAACGGAG